GAAGAUAUACUCAACAGAGAAGCAUGCCACGUCUUCUUAAAAAAUUAUCCAAUCAGAAUAGUCUUUUUUGACACGUCAUAUAUGACAGAAAUAUAGUGGGUUUUGUUUUUAUGAAAAUUAUCAGUCUGGCCCAUCAGAGCCCAUCUAGAAAACGGAACAUGUAUUAUUUUACGUUUCUGAGUUUUUCUCUGACUCUUCCACUUCAUCUUCACCGAUGUUAGAAUUUUUUUUUGUUUUGCGUAACCUUCUCAAUCAAUGGUGAUCUUAAAACCAUUCUGAAUUUUUGGUUCCACCUCCCCCCUUGAUCCUUCUCCUAUAUAAAACUAUGUAUAAACCUAAAUCCACCCAAAAUCAAAACCUACUCUGAAAUCUUUUGUCUAAACCUAACUGCACGAUCUCUACAUCUACUCCGCCACCGUCAAAUCGAAACUGCAAUUCCCCCGGUAAAAGCUCAGUCGCCGUCGAACCUCCUUCACCGCCGAACCAUCAUCAUCCAGGUUCUUACCACAUGACGUCUCACACCGUUAUCAAUACGUCGAGAAUAUCCGGUAAAGUUUCCGUUGACGGAGAGAUCGUCAAGAAGAUUCGUCGAUCAGUUUUAAUCAAACUGAUAUAAAUGAUUAUGCUAAUUUUUUUACCGUAAUCAAAAGAUUUAUGUGUUAUGUUAGAACCACAAGAGUUUUCUUUAAUAGCUAUGGAUCUUUUGCUAACAGAUGAUAUACAUACAUAAACUCAGAUUUCAAGUGAGGAUGUUUUUCUUCUGAAGAAGCUAUGCUUUUGUGUGAGGCACAACGAGUGUAUGAGAAUAGAUGGACUGAGAUACAAAGGUGGAUUCAGGCAGAAAGGAUAAGGUUGUGAACAACAUGUUUGCGAGACUUUGUAUGAAGAGAGCCAAGCAUGAAACUAUGGCUAGCGAGGACAAAUCAAACAAGAACAGAAUGUUGUUCUUAGAUGGAAGUAGUACUCCCGCGAAUAUAAAACUCCUAUUGCCAAUAGAACAAGGAGCCAGCUCCAUCUGCCCUAGAUUACACAUUCUGUCUCCACGGUGAGUUAUUUAUGACCAUCACAAGGUGGAAACUUUCCUCACUUCCUCAUGGGUUACUGGAGGACAAUCUAAAAAUAUUAGACUGGACAAGCAAAAGUUAACAAUCUUCUUUGACAACCCCAACAUCGGGAAAUCGAAGGAAAAAAGCCUUUUUCUGGGUCAUUUUCAUGCAAAAGGAACCGUCCGUCAGAAAAUAGAAAUCGAGUCUAAGCAGCGCUAGAGUACAACCUAUCAAUAACAGCACGAAGAAUAUUGCUUUAGCCCGCAAGAUGGUUGUUUUAAACACAUGAGGCAAAUGUAAGUUGAAUCAAAAGCCUUUGUAAGCAAUUUAUUAAACGUGAAUUAGUUUUGUCGAAUGUUGAAUCAUCUUUUGCUAAUGUUUGCAAGACGUGGUCUUUAUUUCUGGAUUUGGUCAUAAAAGUCAUGCUGUGGGAGAUAUUUAUGGAGUUAGGUACAAGGUUUCCAGGGUUUCUGUUGUUUCAAUCUCAGCUCUCUACAAGGAAAAGGAGCAGCCAACGUCUUAAAGAAAGCUUCAAAUUUUGAAUUUGAUCUUAAUAUCAUAAGCACUUUUAGGUUGUUUGAAAAACAAAUCUACUUUAUGAUUUGAGAAGUAGGUGUGUUUAACCUUUUUUUUUAAUGAGGUUUUGAGCA